GGGCACUGGGGUCUGGGAGGGACAUGAGGACCAGUGAGUGGUGAUGAUACCAACCUGCAGAGGGUGCUCUGGAGCUGGAAAGCAAGCCAACUCACAGACCUCCAGUAGGAGGUGCCACAGGGGUUCCCUGUUGUGGGGGUCAGGGCAGCUGCUUUACUAAGGGCCGUGUAUCCUGUGUGUGUUGGGAGAAGCUGAGCCCAGGAGCGGAAAGCAGAUGGUUGCAGGCAUUUUGCAGCAGGGUUUUCUUUACAUCUAUACACUUGUAACUUAAAUGAGUGAUUGGUUGAUCAGCUAGCUGACUGACUAGCAGUGAUUUCAGCAGAGGAAGAGUCUGCAUGGUUUCCAGCUGAAGAUUCCUACAAGCAAGUGGAGGGAAGAUGUUGUUUUAGACUCAGCAAACUGUAUAGAUUUGGUGAUCAAAGACUCUAACUGAGACUUAGAUUAACUAAACCUAAGUUUUUGGGACCUUCCAGUUUCUUCUCAUUGUGUUUCUGUGGGGACUGAACUGUUCAGAUUUUAUUUUCUUUAUGUAUGUUUAUGUAUAACUGAAGAUAAUGUCUGGGGAUUAUAAAAUAGCAA